rnacentral:rRNA from 1 species
UGCAGUCGAGCGAACGGAUAAGGAGCUUGCUCCUUUGAAGUUAGCGGCGGACGGGUGAGUAACACGUGGGUAACCUACCUAUAAGACUGGAAUAACUUCGGGAAACCGGAGCUAAUGCCGGAUAACAUUUGGAACCGCAUGGUUCUAAAGUAAAAGAUGGUUUUGCUAUCACUUAUAGAUGGACCCGCGCCGUAUUAGCUAGUUGGUAAGGUAACGGCUUACCAAGGCAACGAUACGUAGCCGACCUGAGAGGGUGAUCGGCCACACUGGAACUGAGACACGGUCCAGACUCCUACGGGAGGCAGCAGUAGGGAAUCUUCCGCAAUGGACGAAAGUCUGACGGAGCAACGCCGCGUGAGUGAUGAAGGUUUUCGGAUCGUAAAACUCUGUUAUUAGGGAAGAACAAAUGUGUAAGUAACUGUGCACAUCUUGACGGUACCUAAUCAGAAAGCCACGGCUAACUACGUGCCAGCAGCCGCGGUAAUACGUAGGUGGCAAGCGUUAUCCGGAAUUAUUGGGCGUAAAGCGCGCGUAGGCGGUUUCUUAAGUCUGAUGUGAAAGCCCACGGCUCAACCGUGGAGGGUCAUUGGAAACUGGGAAACUUGAGUACAGAAGAGGAAAGUGGAAUUCCAUGUGUAGCGGUGAAAUGCGCAGAGAUAUGGAGGAACACCAGUGGCGAAGGCGACUUUCUGGUCUGUAACUGACGCUGAUGUGCGAAAGCGUGGGGAUCAAACAGGAUUAGAUACCCUGGUAGUCCACGCCGUAACGAUGAGUGCU